rnacentral:rRNA from 1 species
CUACAAUGGCCAGCACAGUAGGUUGCUAAGCCGCGAGGUGGAGCCAAUCCAUAAAGCUGGUCUCAGUUCAGAUUGCAGGCUGCAACCCGCCUGCAUGAAGAUGGAGUUGCUAGUAACCGCAGGGUCAGCUAUACUGCGGUGAAUACGUUCCCGGGGCUU